AUGACAGGAAUAAAAGAGGAUUCAUGUUUGAAUACUUUAAAGUAUUUUCAUGUCACAGAAAAUGUGGGUGUUGACAUAAUGCACGAUGUUCUUGAGGGAGUUGCACCUUUAGAGGUAAAACUUUUACUCCGACACUACAUUUAUAAUGAAAAAAUGUUGUGCCUGGAACAGUUAAAUGAAAGAAUAAUUAACUUUGACUAUGGGUAUUCAAAUGAAAAAAACAAACCCAGCAUCAUCCUAAAUUUGAGGACAUUUGAGACUGCUGUCAGACAGACUGCAGCACAAAUGUGGUGUCUUAUACAGAACCUACCUUUUCUUCUUGGAGACUUGGUUAAUCCAGAGAGUCUACACUGGCAACUGUUUAUAUUGUUACGUGAAAUAUGCAGCAUCAUUUUUGUUCCCGUUGUAAGCACAGGUCUUGCUGUAUAUUUAAAACAGCUCAUCAUAGACCACCAUAGGCUGUUCAAAGAACUCUAUCCAGGAAAAAAACUCAUCCCUAAACACCAUUUUAUGGUCCACUACCCUAGUAUGAUGGUCCAAUUUGGGCCAUUGUCCAGAUUUUGGUGCAUGAGGUUCGAGGCGAAGCACAACCCACUCAAAAGACAGGCACAUGUUGUGUGCAAUUUUAAAAAUGUGUCAAAGACUCUGGCGUACAAAAACCAGGUUCAACAAAUGCAUCGUUGGAGGUUUGGCCAACCACUUGGCAACAAAAUGUGUGUUCCAAAUGCAUUUCCAGUUAUUCUGAGAUCUUUACCCAAAGGUGAACAACUGAUUGAUAACCUGAGGUUAAUGCUUGAUUGUGACUUUUCAGAGAGUAUGUGUGUUUCUCAUAGCGUUAGUAUGUGGGGACAGACAUACAGGACAGGGACUGUUGUUGUAACAGAAAUGAAAUAUGACGACCCAGUCGUUGGAGAAAUUGUUCAUCUGUUCCCUCAGGUAGACAAAGGCACACUUCUAGCAUUUGUGAAUGUUGUGCAUGUUGAUUUUUUUGAUGACCAUUUCCAUGCAUUUUCUGUGGAGAAAAGUGAGGAGUUCAAAGUGGUGCGAAUUCCUCAUGAUUUGUUGGAAUUUCGACCACUUGAUUUUCAGAAACCUUUCAAAGGAAACAAAGUCUAUGUUAGUCCUCGAUACAAAGUUAUUUAA
rnacentral:lncRNA from 1 species